GAUGAACGCUGGCGGCGUGCCUAAUACAUGCAAGUCGAGCGAACAGAUGAGGAGCUUGCUCCUCUGACGUUAGCGGCGGACGGGUGAGUAACACGUGGAUAACCUACCUAUAAGACUGGGAUAACUUCGGGAAACCGGAGCUAAUACCGGAUAAUAUAUUGAACCGCAUGGUUCAAUAGUGAAGGACGGUUUUGCUGUCACUUAUAGAUGGAUCCGCGCCGCAUUAGCUAGUUGGUAAGGUAACGGCUUACCAAGGCAACGAUGCGUAGCCGACCUGAGAGGGUGAUCGGACAAAAUGGAAAUGAGACAAGGUCCAGACUCCUACGGGAGGCAGCAGUAGGGAAUCUUCCGCAAUGGGCGAAAGCCUGACGGAGCAACGCCGCGUGAGUGAUGAAGGUAUUCGGAUCGUAAAACUCUGUUAUUAGGGAAGAACAAAUGUGUAAGUAACUAUGCACGUCUUGACGGUACCUAAUCAGAAAGCCACGGCUAACUACGUG
rnacentral:rRNA from 1 species